rnacentral:rRNA from 1 species
ACUGCUCAGUAACACGUGGAUAACCUGCCCUUAGGACUGGCAUAACCCCGGGAAACUGGGGAUAAUUCCGGAUAGUUCAUGGUAGUUGGAAUGCUCCAUGAUCGAAAGCUAUUGCGCCUAAGGAUGGGUCUGCGGUCUAUCAGGUAGUAGUGGGUGUAAUGUACCUACUAGCCGACGACGGAUACGGGUUGUGGGAGCAAGAGCCCGGAGAUGGAUUCUGAGACAUGAAUCCAGGCCCUACGGGGCGCAGCAGGCGCGAAAACUUUACAAUGCGGGAAACCGCGAUAAGGGGACACCGAGUGCCAGCAGCCGCGGUAAUACGAUCCCCCCGUGCCCCCGCCCCGCCCGGGGCGGCCCCA